GGCUCCGUAGUACAAUGGAUAGUAUGCAAGUUUCCGGAGCUUGAGAUGCAGGUUCGAUUCCUGCCGGGGCUA
rnacentral:tRNA from 1 species